rnacentral:rRNA from 1 species
AUAAGAGGUCCAGCCUGCCCAGUGAUUUUAUUUAACGGCCGCGGUAUCCUAACCGUGCGAAGGUAGCGUAAUCACUUGUUCUUUAAAUGAGGACUAGUAUGAAUGGCAUCACGAGGGUUAAGCUGUCUCCUUUUUCUAAUCAAUGAAACUGAUCUCCCCGUGAAGAAGCGGGGAUAAUUUUAUAAGACGAGAAGACCCUAUGGAGCUUUAAACUAAGUAGCAUUGACUAACAUUCGUUAGACUUCAAGUCAAUAAUUUCUAUUACUGUCUUCUGACUACUAAUUUUAGGUUGGGGUGACCGCGGAGCAAAAAUUAACCUCCAUGAUGUAUAAAAACCCUUUUGAGCCAAAAGCCACAACUUUAAGCACCAACACAUUGACAUAAAUUGACCCAAUUCUUUGAACAACGAACCAAGUUACCCUAGGGAUAACAGCGCAAUCCACUUCAAGAGCUCCUAUCGACAAGUGGGUUUACGACCUCGAUGUUGGAUCAGGGUAUCCUAGUGGUGCAACCGCUACUAAUGGUUCGUUUGUUCAACGAUUAAAACCCUACGU